rnacentral:rRNA from 1 species
CUGAAACUACAUCCCUAUGUGCAACGCUCCGUGGUCUCACGCCCAUGCGCCAAGCUUGCCUACAAGUUCUUCGGCCCCUACACCGUGCUGGAGAAGAUUGGACCUCUGGCUUACAAGCUGGAUUUGCCACCGGACAGCCGCGUGCACCCGGUCUUCCACGUCUCCCAGCUUAAUCCAUUCGCGCCGGAUUACUCGCUGGUGUUCGCCGAGCUUCCCCGAGUCCAAGACCUGUCUGCUUCGACGACAGAGCCCGUCAAAAUUCUGGAGAGGCGCAUGAUGAAGCAUGGAGACGCGCCCGUGGUGCAGCUCAAGAUCCAGUGGUCGUCAUCAUCUUCGGAUUCGGCCACCUGGGAGGACUACGAAGUGCUACGCCGGCGAUUUCCCACAGCUACCAUCUGGGAGGGGGAUGCCUCGUCUUAA